UGUUGGGAUUGUGAAAUCCCGUGUCCAACUCUAUCUUAUCUUAUUAGUACGAUAUUGUCCACUUUGGGCCUUAGAGACUGGUCCGCAUGGAUUUACUUUUGGUUUCCUUCCCAAAAGGCCUCGUACUAUUAGAGUUGGACAUAUCUUUAUAUAUUAGACUUUCCUUUGUCUAAUAUCCGAUGUGGAACUUAACUUGUUAUCUCACAUUCUCUCCCUCAAGCUAAGGACCACAUUCAUCUCGUAUGUUUCCUUCGGCGAAUCAUCUUCGGUAACACCUUGUACCAGUAAUCGCAGGGCUUUCUUUUUAGAAUGUUUCUCCCACAACACAUCACAGGUUCCAUGAUCUUCUGACGUUUCUGCAACAUACCUUCUCUUUCUUUUUCUACCCGUUUUUACUUAAAGGGUAUUUUAGUCUUCUUGCAGAUUUCUCGUCAACCUGGCUCUGAUACCAAUUGUUGGGAUUGCGAAAUCCCGUGUCCAACUCUAUCUUAUCUUAUUAGUACGAUAUUGUCC
rnacentral:lncRNA from 1 species